rnacentral:rRNA from 1 species
CUGUACAGCCAUACAGGCCUAAAUGCUCUCCAUCUCGUCUGAUCUUGGAAACUAAGUACAGUUGGGCUUGGUUAGUACUUGAAUGGGAGACGAAACUUGCGUUCUUUGGA